UUGCUUAGUAAGAAUUAGGGAGGCUAUUGGUUUAUCUAGCAAUGCUUUUUUUUGAACUUUAAUAGAUUGCAAGCUUAAACCCCAUUUAUUUUGCUGCUACAUCUUUUGUCUCAAUAAAAAUUUUAAUUUUUUGCAAUUUGAGUCAUAUCCUAUAAAAGGAUUUCAUAAAUCUUUUCAAGAUCCAUAAGAAAUGACAUUGGAGCCAUAAUGUUUGUAAGUAGAUAGAUAUAAGUUGAAUAAAGAACAAAUAGCAACAUUACUAGAUGGCCAGCGUGGGAGAGGUG
rnacentral:lncRNA from 1 species